UAUUGUGUUUUGAAGCUUCUACAUCGAACCAUAGAUGCCGACAAAGAACUGCCAAACCCCCUCUUCAACAAGAUCAUACAUGAUUGUCAUCUUAAAUCAAUGGAGAAAUCAUUGUAUCACAUGACAGCUAAAUGGACCACUGCAGCCAGUCAGCCCACUAACCAUCGCUCCCGCUCUCAUUUUGCCCUCU